rnacentral:rRNA from 1 species
GAUGAACGCUGGCGGCGUGCCUAAUACAUGCAAGUCGAGCGAACAGACGAGGAGCUUGCUCCUUUGACGUUAGCGGCGGACGGGUGAGUAACACGUGGGUAACCUACCUGUAAGACUGGGAUAACUUCGGGAAACCGGAGCUAAUACCGGAUAAUAUUUCGAACCGCAUGGUUCGAUAGUGAAAGAUGGCUUUGCUAUCACUUAUAGAUGGACCUGCGCCGUAUUAGCUAGUUGGUAAGGUAACGGCUUACCAAGGCAACGAUACGUAGCCGACCUGAGAGGGUGAUCGGCCACACUGGAACUGAGACACGGUCCAGACUCCUACGGGAGGCAGCAGUAGGGAAUCUUCCGCAAUGGGCGAAAGCCUGACGGAGCAACGCCGCGUGAGUGAUGAAGGUCUUCGGAUCGUAAAACUCUGUUAUUAGGGAAGAACAAACGUGUAAGUAACUGUGCACGUCUUGACGGUACCUAAUCAGAAAGCCACGGCUAACUACGUG